UGUAAACUUACCGACCUUUCUCAGGGAA
rnacentral:piRNA from 1 species